GAGGCUUUGCGGUGGCUGCUUGGCUUGGCGGUGGUCGCUUGGCUUGGCGUGGCAGUGAUCGCUUGGCUUGGCAUUUCUGGCUUGGCGGUCCUCCUUUCGCAGAUUGGAAACCGCGGGCUAUCCUGCUGGGAGGUUGUGGCCGAGGCAGUAGCUCGCUACUGAUGGCCUCCUGGGGUGGAGAAAAGCGGGGAGGGGCUGAGGGGUCUCCGAAGCUGGCAGUCUACGCCACGAGGAAGACCCGUAGCGUCAGGAGCCAGGAGGACCAGUGGUACUUGGGCUACCCGGGGGACCAGUGGUCUUCGGGCUUCUCCUACAGCUGGUGGAAAAAUAGCGUCGGCAGCGAGAGCAAGCACGGUGAGGGCGCCUUAGACCAGCCCCAGCACGACGUCCGCCUGGAAGAUCUUGGCGAGCUCCACAGAGCUGCCCGGUCGGGCGACGUCCCUGGGGUGGAGCACGUCUUGGCUCCUGGAGACACUGGCGUGGACAAGAGGGAUAGGAAGAAGAGCAUUCAGCAACUAGUUCCUGAAUAUAAGGAAAAACAGACACCUGAAAGUCUUCCUCAAAAUAACAAUCCAGAUUGGCAUCCUACUAAUUUGACCCUUAGUGAUGAGACUUGUCAGAGAUCCAAGAAUCUGAAAGUUGGUGAUAAAAGUCCAUCUGUAUCACCAUCAAUGCCUGAAAAUCAGUCAGCAACCAAAGAACUGGGACAGAUGAACUUAACAGAACGAGAAAAAAUGGACACUGGAGUUGUACUUCUCUCAGGGAAUGAUACUCUCCAUGACCUGUGCCAAUCACAGCUACCAGAAAACAAAGAGAGCAAAGAAGCAGAACAAGACUUGGAGCUGACAUCAGAGGAAGAGCAAGAAAGACUUAAAGGAUGCGAAAAUAAGCAGCCACAGAAAACGUCUCAAGAACCAGAAAUGGCUAAGGAUUGUGAUAGAGAGGAUAUACCUAUAUAUCCAGUACUUCCUCAUGUGCAAAAAUCUGAGGAAAUGUGGAUUGAACAAGGCAAAUUAGAGUGGAAAAACCAAUUAAAACUCGUCAUAAAUGAGUUAAAGCAGAGGUUUGGUGAAAUUUAUGAAAAAUACAAAAUUCCGGCUUGUCCUGAGGAAGAGCCACUACUUGAUAACUCUACAAGAGGAACAGAUGUGAAGGAUAUUCCCUUUAAUUUGACAAAUAACAUACCUGGUUGUGAGGAAGAAGAUGCAUCUGAAAUAUCUGUCUCAGUGGUAUUCGAGACAUUUCCUGAACAAAAAGAACCCAGUCUCAAAAAUAUCAUCCAUCCAUACUAUCAUCCGUACUCUGGGUCCCAGGAACAUGUUUGCCAGUCAUCUUCUAAGCUUCAUUUACAUGAAAAUAAAUUAGACUGCGACAAUGAUAACAAACUAGGCAUUGGACAUAUUUUUAGUACAGAUAACAACUUUCAUAAUGAUGCAAGCACUAAGAAAGCAAGGAACCCAGAAGUGGUUACGGUUGAAAUGAAAGAAGACCAAGAGUUUGAUUUGCAAAUGACAAAAAAUAUGAACCAAAAUAGUGACAGUGGCAGUACAAAUAACUAUAAAAGCCUGAAACCUAAAUUAGAAAAUCUGAGUUCUUUACCACCAGAUUCUGACAGAACAUCAGAAGUAUAUCUACAUGAAGAAUUACAGCAAGACAUGCAAAAGUUUAAGAAUGAGGUCAACACAUUAGAAGAAGAGUUCCUGGCUUUGAAGAAAGAAAAUGUUCAACUUCAUAAAGAGGUUGAAGAAGAAAUGGAGAAGCACAGAAGUAAUAGCACAGAAUUAUCAGGAACCCUAACUGAUGGUACUACUGUUGGCAAUGAUGAUGAUGGACUAAAUCAGCAGAUUCCUAGGAAGGAAAAUGAAGAGCAUGACAGGCCUGCAGAUAAAACAGCUAAUGAAAAGAACAAGGUCAAAAACCAAAUAUAUCCUGAGGCUGACUUUGCUGACUCAAUGGAGCCAUCUGAAAUAGCCUCAGAGGAUUGUGAAUUGUCUCACUCUGUUUAUGAGAAUUUUAUGUUGCUGAUUGAACAACUUAGAAUGGAGUAUAAAGGUUGUGCAGGAGAGAAACGAUGCCCAGAAGCAACUUUCUGAAGAACAGGAUGCCAGAAUAUUACAAGAUCAGAUUCUGACAAGUAAACAAAAGGAACUAGAAAUGGCUCAAAAGAAAAUGAAUUCUGAGAUUUCUCAUAGGCAUCAGAAAGAAAAGCAUCUCUUUCAUGAAAAUUGCAUGUUGCAGGAAGAAAUUGCCUUGCUGAGACUGGAAAUAGAUACAAUAAAAAAUCAGAACAAGCAAAA
ensembl:lncRNA CCDC144BP coiled-coil domain containing 144B, pseudogene